rnacentral:lncRNA from 1 species
AGGUAGGCAAAAUGGGUUCAAAGGAUGGGUUUUGGUUUGAUGAAAGAUAGGUUCGGUUUAACAAAGAAUUAAGUUACAAAGAUGUUAAAUAAAUGGAAAUGGAUAAAGAACUCAAACUUUAAGAAUGAUUCAAUACUAAAAAGUAUUGCCCCAAGUCUUGUAUUGCUUAAGGUGAAUUUUGAUGAAGGAUAGAAGCGGACCUUGACCCGUUACCUAUAUGGAGGUAAGAAACAAAGGUAUAGGAAGAUGGUUG